rnacentral:rRNA from 1 species
GAUGAACGCUGGCGGCGUGCCUAAUACAUGCAAGUCGAGCGAACAGACGAGGAGCUUGCUCCUCUGACGUUAGCGGCGGACGGGUGAGUAACACGUGGAUAACCUACCUAUAAGACUGGGAUAACUUCGGGAAACCGGAGCUAAUACCGGAUAAUAUAUUGAACCGCAUGGCUCAAUAGUGAAAGACGGUUUUGCUGUCACUUAUAGAUGGAUCCGCGCCGCAUUAGCUAGUUGGUAAGGUAACGGCUUACCAAGGCAACGAUGCGUAGCCGACCUGAGAGGGUGAUCGGCCACACUGGAACUGAGACACGGUCCAGACUCCUACGGGAGGCAGCAGUAGGGAAUCUUCCGCAAUGGGCGAAGGCCUGACGGAGCAACGCCGCGUGAAUGAUGAAGGUCUUCUGAUCGUAAAACUCUGUUAUUAGGGAAGAACAAAUGUGUAAGUAACUAUGCACGUCUUGACGGUACCUAAUCAGAAAGCCACGGCUAACUACGUG